GUGUCUCCUAUGGAAGCGAACCUCAAGAUGGGUCACCCAUAUCGCUUCCUGGGCUUGUGCCUAAAGUUGGUCGAGGGAUAUGAUACGAACUAUUUCAAAAAUAGUUCCAUCCGUGCAUGUGCGUGGAUUCGUAUUUUGGUAUAAAACAUGCCUAAAAGAGGGAUCGAUCCAAUUUCCCACUGCUUGUAUGAUAUUCUCAGUUUUGCAAGGGAGGGUUU
rnacentral:lncRNA from 1 species